GACGAACGCUGGCGGCGUGCUUAACACAUGCAAGUCGAACGGAAAGGCCCUGCUUUUGUGGGGUGCUCGAGUGGCGAACGGGUGAGUAACACGUGAGUAACCUGCCCUUGACUUUGGGAUAACUUCAGGAAACUGGGGCUAAUACCGGAUAGGAGCUCCUGCUGCAUGGUGGGGGUUGGAAAGUUUCGGCGGUUGGGGAUGGACUCGCGGCUUAUCAGCUUGUUGGUGGGGUAGUGGCUUACCAAGGCUUUGACGGGUAGCCGGCCUGAGAGGGUGACCGGACACAUUGGGACUGAGAUACGGCCCAGACUCCUACGGGAGGCAGCAGUGGGGAAUAUUGCAGAAUGGGCGGAAGCCUGAUGCAGCAACGCCGCGUGCGGGAUGACGGCCUUCGGGUUGUAAACCGCUUUCGCCUGUGACGAAGCGUGAGUGACGGUAAUGGGUAAAGAAGCACCGGCUAACUACGUG
rnacentral:rRNA from 1 species